rnacentral:rRNA from 1 species
UAACUGAAGAGUUUGAUCAUGGCUCAGAUUGAACGCUGGCGGCAGGCUUAACACAUGCAAGUCGAGCGGGGGAAGGUAGCUUGCUACCGGACCUAGCGGCGGACGGGUGAGUAAUGCUUAGGAAUCUGCCUAUUAGUGGGGGACAACAUCUCGAAAGGGAUGCUAAUACCGCAUACGUCCUACGGGAGAAAGCAGGGGAUCUUCGGACCUUGCGCUAAUAGAUGAGCCUAAGUCGGAUUAGCUAGUUGGUGGGGUAAAGGCCUACCAAGGCGACGAUCUGUAGCGGGUCUGAGAGGAUGAUCCGCCACACUGGGACUGAGACACGGCCCAGACUCCUACGGGAGGCAGCAGUGGGGAAUAUUGGACAAUGGGGGGAACCCUGAUCCAGCCAUGCCGCGUGUGUGAAGAAGGCCUUAUGGUUGUAAAGCACUUUAAGCGAGGAGGAGGCUACUUUAGUUAAUACCUAGAGAUAGUGGACGUUACUCGCAGAAUAAGCACCGGCUAACUCUGUGCCAGCAGCCGCGGUAAUACAGAGGGUGCGAGCGUUAAUCGGAUUUACUGGGCGUAAAGCGUGCGUAGGCGGCUUAUUAAGUCGGAUGUGAAAUCCCCGAGCUUAACUUGGGAAUUGCAUUCGAUACUGGUGAGCUAGAGUAUGGGAGAGGAUGGUAGAAUUCCAGGUGUAGCGGUGAAAUGCGUAGAGAUCUGGAGGAAUACCGAUGGCGAAGGCAGCCAUCUGGCC